rnacentral:rRNA from 1 species
UACGGGGGGAGCAAGCGUUGUUCGGAUUUACUGGGCGUAAAGGGCGCGUAGGCGGUCGUGACAAGUCACUUGUGAAAUCUCCGGGCUUAACUCGGAAAGGUCAAGUGAUACUGUCGGACUAGAGUACAGAAGGGGCAACUGGAAUUCUCGGUGUAGCGGUGAAAUGCGUAGAUAUCGAGAGGAACACCUGCGGCGAAGGCGGGUUGCUGGGCUGACACUGACGCUGAGGCGCGAAAGCUAGGGGAGCGAACGGG